ACAGCUGGACUCCACCCCCUCACUAAGAGAAUUAAAAAAAAUAUUCUGGGGUUUGUUAGGCUUACGGUCUGGUGUUACAGGAGGUUACCAACUAACAACAGCCCGCCAUUUCGGAUAACAACAUUGGUUACUGAACUCCGGUGAACGUGGAGGCCAUCAGAAACCGGACAAAUCUACUACUCCUUUAUUGCUUCCGCUGACCUCGGAAUGCAAGAAAUCCAGGCCUUCGGUGUCCAGGAGCGCGUGGUAAGCCAUAAAU